AUGGACGCUAGCAGUGUCAGCCCCUCGAUAGCCUCCGCGCCAACUAGCCGAUUGCUCCCGAUACGCACGCCGAGAUCGGCACCGGCCGAAUGGACGACGACGGACGAUUUCUCGGCGGCUACCGAGGAGGAAGAGCCUGUCACCCCUACUGCAAGACUCAUGGAAGGUAUAUACAUCGUCGUUACCAUCGGCCUUGGUUCGCCCGUAAACCUACCGGUCUUCAGCGCCGGCGUUGCCGCGGAACUUGCCCGUUUCCCACGCUUCCGCAGCAUCCAGGUCACAGAUGGGUCAAAGGACGGCAACAACCCGCGGUGGGCGCGCACGGCGGUGAACGUGGAGGACCACAUGAUCGUCCCGACGCUUGACCCCGCCGCCGUGGCGGCCGACCCGGACCGGGCCGUGGAGGACUACGUGGCCUCGGUGUACACGCUCCCCAUGGACCGCUCCCGCCCGCUAUGGGAGUUCCACUUCCUCGACUUCCCAACCUCCGAGGCGGCCUCCACCGUGGUGGCCCGCGUGCACCACUCCCUCGGCGACGGGAUGUCGCUCAUCACACUCCUCCUGGCGUCCGCGCGCAGCGCCGCCGACCCGACACGCCUGCCGGCCAUGCCGGAGCCGCCGGCGCGCACAGGCGCCAUCUACGCGCCGCGGCGCCGUGAGCCGACAUCCCCUGGCGCCCUAGCAGCGUUCAUCACGUGGAUCUGGCCGUAUCUCGUGCUCGCAUGGAACACCAUGGUGGACGUCAGCUUAUUCGCUGCGACGACUGUGUUCCUGAGGGACCCGUGGACACCCUUCAGACGUGCGGACGGCGACGUCAUGUUGAACCCCCGUAGGCGCUUUGUGCACCGGAGCCUUAGCUUGGACGACGUCAAGUUCAUCAAGAAUGCCAUGAGUUGCACUGUCAAUGAUGUGCUGGUUGGGGCAACUUCCGCUGCUCUGUCACGCUAUUACUUUCGCAACUCUGGUGGCACUGACACCUACAGAACAUGGUUGCGGUCUGUCCUCCUUGUAAAUACAAGGCCAACCGCUAGCCUACAAGCAUAUGCUAAUAUGAUAGAAUCCGGUAGGAGCAACGAUGUGGCAUGGGGAAAUCAACUAGGCUACAUCCUCCUUCCAUUUCAUUUAGCAAUGCACAAUGAUCCACUUGCAUAUGUUCGCAAGGCUAAGAUGACCGUGGACAGGAAAAAGAGCUCACUUGAAGCUAUCUUCACAUGUAAGACAAGUGAAGUUUUUGUCAAAAUGUUUGGUCUGAAGGCAGGCGCUUUUACCUUCCGCCGUAUGUUCGCCAAUACAACUAUUUCAUUCUCAAACUUGGUUGGACCAAUUGAAAAAAUAGAGUUGUGUGGGCAUCCAGUUGUCUUCAUUGCGCCUAGCGUUUAUGGAGUUCCCCAAGCUUUGAUUGUGCACUACCAGAGUUAUAAUAACACUAUUAAGAUAGUUUUAUCAGUUGAUGAGGAAAUAUUUCCAAAUUAUAGUCAACUUUUGGAUGACUUUGUCGAGUCCUUCGGACUCAUUAAGGAUGCGGCUUCAAGGCUUUCAGAAUCCAUCAAGAAAGAGUAA
rnacentral:rRNA from 1 species